CCAGCCAAGUCACCCCGGGGGUGCUUGGCCUGUCCGGUGACGCCGUUUCCUCUGCUCUUGCAGCUCCCCUGGAAGAGGCCACUGAGAGUCCAGCCAAAGCCACUGCUCUGCAGAGACCUUAUCACUGCGAUGCCUGCGAGCGGGACUUCAUGUUCACAUCCACAGAGACCCUGCGGCACAGAAAGCAACACCAGUGACGGCUGGGGCUGUGUGUCUGGGCCUAGCCCUGAUGGGGGCUCUAGUGGUCAGAAGUGGGGAGGCUGGAGGUCAGGACUCCUGGGUUCUCUCCCCAGCUCUGGGAGGGCACGUGGUCCUGCCCCUACAAAGCACAUGGCAGCCCAUCCUAGCUGCGCUGGCUGGACUCGCGGUGCGGGGUCAGGGGUGGGAGCCGAGUCCUGCAGCGUCGCUCCCUCGCUGACUCCCAGCUGAUGGAUUUAAAUAUGCGCCAGGAUAAAUCUUGGUGAGAGAACAUUGAAAUGUCAAGAGAGAAAUCAAUCGAUCAGAGACCCGAAGAAGGACGCCAGGGUUCGGCCUGGUAUUUUUCAACUCGGUCUGUGGAUGAUAAGUCAGGGCAGCAAGUAAACUUCCCCUUAGCAAGUUUAUAGAAAGAAGCAGCAGAGAGUCGGCUGCUGGCACCACACCAGUCUGAGAACGCUGCCACGCAUAGGGUCGGCCUGAGUUCUCCAGCCGAUGGGCUCUCAAGGUAAUGCAGGACAGCUGUGGAGGACGAAAAAUGACAUUGGACUUUGUGGAUAAUUCCCUCCACCUCCCAAAGUUGUUUUUUUUUUUUUCAUUGAAGCCGAGUCCCCCUCAAACUGUUGUUUUCAAACACCUCGAAACCGGGAAAGGUUCUGUGUUUUCAUCCAAAAAGGGGGAAAAAGGAAAAUUUCACUCCAAAUAGAAAUUUUUCAUGAAAAUGGUCGUUUUGGUCAAACCAACCAAGAAAAAAAACACAAACUUUUCAUAAAAAAGUUUAGAUGAAAAAUAUUCCAACCAGCCCUGCCUGGGAGUGCGAGGCGUUUCCUGCUGCCACUGUCUCUCUGUGGCUGUGCGUGGCCAGAAGUGUCUGCUCUGUGGAGCCCACGGGAUGAGGCUAGGACGGGCAUGGGCUCUCUGCCAUCAGGACUGCUGAGCUGAGCCAUGGGAAAUCUCUCUCCCACAUUGUCCAGGUUUUAAAGGCCAGAUUCUCAAAUGGGCUAGGAGCGCCCCCCCUUUGAUGUGAGUGGCGGCAGGUCUUGGCCUGUUGGGAAGUCCCUCCCUAAAGGUUCCUGUCUUGUCGCUCAGAGACACCCCGCAGCCCAGUCACGCUCUGGGUGACUCACAUGGGCAGGUUGCUGGAUUUUGAACGGGGGGACGAUCGUUCCCACGUUCCAGAAACGCUUUGUAUUGGCUUUGUGCCACAGCACGAGGAAACUAAGGGGCUGCCUCG
rnacentral:lncRNA from 1 species